GUCACAAGCCCUGUCUGGGAAGUAUCAACAAAAUGCAGUGAGUUGUAGUCAUGUGGGUCAGAUUCAGCAGGUCCUGUGCUUGGAGGCAGCCCCACAGUGCACUCAGCAUGAAGAGCCAGCCAAAGGAAAUUCUGCCUGCAGAUCUGUGCUGGUUACAGCAAAGGAGAAGCUUUUGAGGGCAAGUCAGAGAAGAUGGUAGGCACAUUUUACCCAGUGCUCUCGUCAUUCCUGAUGCAGACAUCCCUGCUUGCUGGUUUGCUACAUGACAUACCAGCCUGCAGCUGGUAGUGAAGCUGAACACAGCAAGGCAUGCUGCAGCUAAUUAUUUAGGACUUUCAUAAACAUCUACUUUGGGGAAAAGACUAUUGUCAUUCUAAAGCUUGGGACCAAAAUUUUGAUGAAAAUAUGGAGGUUUUGUGGUUGUUACACACAUUUUCCAAGCCACUUCUGUUUUUCUUCCACAGUUAAAAUGCACUAAGUACAUUUGAGAUUCUCAAAAGAUAUGAAGAGAGACCCAGGAAGGAUUUUUCAUUAAAGGAGCAGUAUUUUAACAACACGGAGAAGGAAACAGAUGCAUGAACUACUCCAGUUUCAACAGAGCCAAAAUACAAGUUUGAUGUUUUAAAGAAAAGCGGAUGCAGUCAUGUUGUCCUCUUUUUGGAAGUUAUAACUGAUGAGUAGAUGAAAAAAUGAAGGAACAAGCUUCACCUCUGACUGGUUGGGAGAAAUGGUUUGAGCAGAUCUACAGCCCUCAAAGAACAGCCCACAUUUAGCAGCAUAAUGAACAGCUGAGCUUGAGCAUGAUUUUAUGUGACUGAGUGAAGCCUCUUUCCAUAUCACAUCUUUGAGUCUCUUACUCUCUAAAAGAAAAGUUUGCCCCAUAAAACUGGAAGAGAAGAAAUAGGUGAUGUGAACAUGGAUGUGCUGAUCAACACAAGGGAAGCACAGGAAAAGUGCAGGUAUGGGCAUCAAGCAAGUUGUGCCAUUUAGUGGAGAGAAAAAUAGAAUUGAUAAGAACAAAGUAAAAUUGAUAAAAAUACAAUACCUAAAUUCACUAAUCAUGUGAAUUAGCCUGGAGUGAUAAGAGACAGAAAUUUGAAACCUUUGUCAUAGUGCCUGGCAGCAGUUUAGAAAGCAAAUAAGGCCUAAGGAAGUAGAAUUAGAUGGAGAGAACCACACUUAUCAGUAAUUAAAACACUAUUCUGAGAAAAAGCAAGGCAAAGCCACUUAUUAUUGCUAACUACCUUGAGUGUCAUGUUACACAGAAAAUACAAAAAUACAACCUGUAAAGGUGGCAAAAAUAU